UACGUAGGUGGCAAGCGUUGUCCGGAAUUAUUGGGCGUAAAGCGCGCGCAGGCGGCCUUUUAAGUCUGAUGUGAAAGCCCACGGCUUAACCGUGGAAGGUCAUUGGAAACUGGAAGGCUUGAGGAUAGAAGAGGAAAGUGGAAUUCCACGUGUAGCGGUGAAAUGCGUAGAGAUGUGGAGGAACACCAGUGGCGAAGGCGACUUUCUGGUCUAUAACUGACGCUGAGGCGCGAAAGCAUGGGGAGCAAAC
rnacentral:rRNA from 1 species